AAAGAACGCUGGCGGCAUGCUUAACACAUGCAAGUCGAACGGAUAGUAGCAAUACUAUUAGUGGCAAACGGGUGAGUAAUACGUAGGAAUCUACCCUGUAGUACGGAACAACAGUUGGAAACGACUGCUAAUACCGCAUACGCUCCUUCGGGAGGAAAGAUUUAUCGCUAUAGGAUGAGCCUGCGCUAAAUUAGAUAGUUGGUGGGGUAAUGGCCUACCAAGUCAAUGAUUUAUAGCUGGUCUGAGAGGACGACCAGCCACACUGGAACUUAGACACGGUCCAGACUCCUACGGGAGGCAGCAGUGAGGAAUAUUGGACAAUGGGCGCAAGCCUGAUCCAGCAAUGUCGCGUGAAUGAUGAAGGCCUUCGGGUUGUAAAGUUCUUUCGGUGGGGAAGAAAAUGACGGUACCCACAGAAGAAGCUCCGGCUAACUUCGUGC
rnacentral:rRNA from 1 species